AAUAAAUUGUUUCGAGUAUUGUUGCUCCAAGGCAACAAAAAUCAAAGAAAGAAGUCACAGAGCAAUCCAAAACUUAAUUGGCAGGAAAACACAGAGACAGGGCUGGCAAAUUGUCAGGUUCUGUCAAAGAACCAACAACCGGGACACACAUUUAGAUAUAGCCGACAGCUGGAAACACAUAAGUAUAUCCACAUGCUUAUUUUGGGUGGCUAAAAUGUGGCCUGUGCUAAAAAGGGCUUGUGCCAUGUACAUGAAUGUCGACCCAAAAAGGGAUUCUAUAUAUACAUUCUAAUGGAAAGUAUUAAGAAAAUAUUUAAGACAACCAGCAGACUGGGUCUUGGAUAAAUAAUAUCUUUGUGUCGCGGCAGACGCCAUCAGACGCUCCCCAUGGCUCCAUGGUCCCAUACGCACUCCAUAAAUAUUGGUUUACAGACAUAGACGGCCAGCCAGCAGGCAUAUAUAUGUCCUUUCCAGGCCCACCCGACUUAAUCCGAUUUGUUCAGUGUAAAUACUCCCUAAAAUGCAAAGUAGAGCACAUCAAUUUGGCAAACAAAUUAUGGCCGCAAUCAUUUUUGUAAUGAUGGGAAAAAAUCGACUUGCCUAAGGACUAAGCGGGAAACAACGAAAAAUGAAACGAAUUCGCGAAAUGAUUGGUCUAAUUUGUGGAAAAAGGCAAAAAAAUAUAUACAAAAUCGUAUUAGAAUGCAGAGGCAGUAAAUUCUCGUUAAUGAGAGGUUAAGAAAACAAUUGUUUGGUAAAAUUUAAAUGCAAGCAAAUGUUUAAGUAUCAUUCA
rnacentral:sRNA from 1 species